rnacentral:rRNA from 1 species
UAUGUGAUCGUCUCUCGCAUAUCAAUAAGCGGAGGAAAAGAAACUAACAAGGAUUCCCCUAGUAACAGGCGAGUGAAGCGGGAAGAGCUCAAAUUUGAAAUCUUAAAGGGUUUCCCUUUACGAAUUGUAGUUUAAAGAAGUGUUUUCUGUUGAGGUUUUGGUAAAAGUUCUUUGGAAUAGGACAUCAUAGAGGGUGAGAAUCCCGUAUUUGACCUUUACUUUCAACUUUGUGAUACACUUUCAAAGAGUCGGAUUGUUUGGGAAUGCAGUCCAAAAUGGGUGGUAAAUUUCAUCUAAAGCUAAAUAUGGGCGAGAGACCGAUAGCGAACAAGUACCGUGAGGGAAAGAUGAAAAGAACUUUGAAAAGAGAGUUAAACAGUACGUGAAAUUGUCAAAAGGGAAGCGUUUGACACCAGUGUUGUUUUUCUGAGAAUCAAUUAAAGAACUGUUUAUGCUAAGUUGUUUAGACUUUAUCAGCUAUCUGUUUAGUUUUGAGCUUUUCUUUAAUGCACUUUUCAGUUAACAAGUCAACAUCAAUUUCUUUUGCUGUAAAAAAGCUUGAGGAAGGUGGCUUGAGAUUCGUCUUAAGUGUUUAUAGCCUCUUGCCUAUGCAGUCGGAGAGAUUGAGGUCUGCAGCGUAGAUCCUUCGGGGCUAAAUGCAUUUGUGCUAAGUUAUAGCAUUUUAUAGACAACUUGUUGACUAUGAUUUGUCUUGUAGCUUACUCGCUUAUGUUAUUUUACCUACGCUUAGGAUGUUGAAGAUAUGCGCGACACG